GAGAGAGAGAGAGAGAGAGAGAGAGAUGUAAAGCGUAAUAAAGGAGAGAGAGAGAGAGAGAUGUAAAGCGUAAUAAAGGAGAGAGAGAGAGAGAGAGAGAGAGAUGUAAAGCGUAAUAAAGGAGGGAGAGAGAGAGAGAGAGAGAUGUAAAGCGUAAUAAAGGAGAGAGAGAGAGGGGGGGUGUAAAGGGUAAUAAAGGAGAGAGAGAGAGAGAUGUAAAGCGUAAUAAAGGAGAGAGAGAUGUAAAGAGUAAUAAAGGAGAGAGAGAGAGAUGUAAAGAGUAAUAAAGGAGAGAGAGAGAGAGAGAGAGAUGUAAAGCAUAAUAAAGGAGAGAGAGAGAGAGAGAGAUGUAAAGCAUAAUAAAGGAGAGAGAGGAGAGAGAGAGAGAUGUAAAGCGUAAUAAAGGAGAGAGAGAGAGAGAGAUGUAAAGCGUAAUAAAGGAGGGAGAGAGAGAGAUGUAAAGCCUAAUAAAGGAGAGAGAGAGAAGGAGAGAGAGAGAGAGAUGUAAAGCGUAAUAAAG
ensembl:lncRNA